GUGCUUGCUUAGACAGCACAUAUACUAAAAUUGGAACAAUCCAGAGAAGAUUAGCAUGGCUGCUGCACAAGGAUGACACACAAAUUUGUGAAGCAUUCCAUAUUUUU
rnacentral:snRNA from 1 species